ensembl:lncRNA
AUGUUUUAUAAACAAGGCCCAGUUCGAUGCUGGAUUUGCACAUCGUUUGAUUCUGAAGAUGGAGCGGUCCCAGCUAUAAAAGAUCCUGGUCGUGAUUCAGAACUGCAGACGAGAAAUUGGACUGCACCUCCCUUUCCUGCCAGUUUGGUUGCCGUAUUGAAAGAGAUGGUGAAAUGGGCUUUUUGUGUCCUCCAGGGCUCCACUUGGCUUCAGAUAACAGAACCUGCAAAGGUGAUCCCACAUUCCCAAUGUUGCCAUAUCCCACCUUCCAUUGUGUUAAACUUUGUUAGAUAAAAUUAGAUGUUCAUAAUGCUUUUGCAUUAUGAAUUGGACCUAUGAAAAUUAAUUAAACAUGUAACGAUUAAACCUAUGGUCUAUGAGUACUACUAGGACCAUGAUUAAUAAAUAUAGUAAACUGUAUAGCAUAAUGACAAAAAAAAAAAAAAAAUCCCAUUUUUACUUAGGGGAAAUUUUCUAAAUGCACAUUGUUGCUAGGUAAGGGAUGGUGUAGGAAACAGCCUCCUUUGAACUGUCAGAAUUGUUGGAGAGAGGUGAAGCAACCAAUGCCAAAAGAUAUCACUUUGGCAUCCACUGAGAACAGGUGUGGAGACAGCUUCCCAUGCAGUAUACAGGGCAUUUCAGCAACCCCCACAUAGCAAGCUAAUGGCUCUUACCUAUCAUUAGCAAAUCCUCAGCCUAAAUGUUCAUGAUACUUUCCUCCUGCUCUGGACAUUUAUCAGUUCAUCUGUCAAAAGAUCUCUAAAGUUGUAGAGUGACCCUGUAGAAACAAUAUUAAGAAGUCCUCAUUCAAAAGAAUUUUAGAAUAUAAGGCAGGUCAGUGUUCAUUCAGCUUUUAAAUACUUUUAAACCUUUUCUAUCUCCUUGAGCCACUUUAAGAAUAUUGUGCUUUGCUCUUUUCAUUACAGAAUUUAAUAGCCACAGUGUUUACGACCCUGUAUAUGACUAACGCAAAGGUCACAAUUAAUACUGAGCAUGAGCAUCACAGCAUAUCCAUGUAAUGUUGCUGCAGAAUUCCAGGGAAAUAUCUUCUGGGCUUUUAACCUUGUUGUUAACAGAGGUGCACAUUUCAGAGGUUAAAGCAGUCACUUGUUCUGUCCUGGCUUUUAUCCCAUUGUAAGUGUUACAACAGGGAUUGUAUUUUUUUAGAGUCUGUUGGAAUUCCUUAGCAAAAGUUUUUGAUUUUGUGUGUUGUUUAAUCAUAUGAACACUUUUUGCUUUUCCAGGGUUUUCAGAAGUGGAAAUGUCAUAGUUGGGUAAAGGUUGGGUGAACGGAAACUACAACAUAUAUAAUUUCUGCAUUAACAUUUGCUCAAAUACCAAAAGUAAAAAUCCAUGAUAGCAUUUCUAUAUAAGAAGAAAAAUAUUUUAUAAACAUACAUAAAAUUAAAAAAAAUGCGUCAUCACAGUAAAAAGGGUUUGUAAAAAGGGUUUAUUGUUGUAUGAGAAUUCAUAUUGUUCCUAUAUAGAACUGAAUCAAAGUGGUAUUCAACUGAAAUGCUAAUUUUAUCUUUUGAUGGUUUCUUAUUGUAUCAGUUUUGUCUUUUGUAGACAUAAAUGAGUCUGAUGGUCUCUCUCUCUCUCUCUCUCUCUCUCUCUCUCUCUCUCUCUCUCUCCACAUCAAUUUUAAGGGGACUGGUAUAGUUAUUUAACACUCAAAACUGCUUCCCACUGUAGUGUCUCAGUAGUUCCUGACGUCAGUACUUCUUAAUAAAAUACUGACCUCUGGUGGAAAGAUGUGUUUUCUAGACCUUAACUAAUGUCAUAUUAUUUUAUCUAAUAGAGCUUCAGUAUGUUCACUCAGGUUCUCUGAAUUCUAUAUUGAAGAGGAUAUAGUACGGGAAAAGCUGACCAACAUAAUUAAGGGAAAGUAGAGAAAAUGCGAGUGCACUGUAGCUCAGGUCGAGCUCUUGCUGUUACUGUGAGAGCUCUGGCAGCGGUAGGAAUGGGCAGCUGCAUCCAGACUCCCUUACUCCAUUCAUGUUCACAACAGCAGGUGUCACAUUGGACUUUCACAGAGAAAUAGAGAGCACUCGAAACACUGGAACUUGUUACGGGACAGCCAAGAACAAAGGAAUGAAAUGUAGGAACAUAUAGCCUCAUCUAAUAUCUCAGACCACAAUGCCUCGAGAAAUUCCACAAACUCACUACAAGAAACGCAAUAAAACCUGCUCUUAUUCAUUCAAAGCUGUCAGAAAGCAUCUAUAGCAGGACACAAACAGAAACAUUUCAAAUAAAAGGUUCCAGGCCUCUUUUUAUGAAGCAGACCUCACACCAAGUUGUAUGUAAUGCCUACCAGAAACUGGUUUAUUUACCGAAAAAUAAGAUUUAACGCCGAGCUUGGCAUUACAAAUAAAAAGCAAACAAAUGGAAGAAGCUAAGAGAGGAGAGGAGGGAGCGAGAGUGAACCUGGGGAGAAAAGGAAACACAGAAGUGGAAAGUUUCUCUCUGUCUUUCAAUAGUUAUUUUUCUCAGUUCUGUUUAUUGACACUCUGAGGGCCUUUGCAGGCAGUCCGAAAGGGUUGGACACUUGUGCUAAUGUAACUCUGCUGCUGCUAUUGGUGCUAAGUUAAGUGAAAACAAUUAAUAUGUAAAUCUAAUUUGGACAUCUGCAGCUACAACAACUCUUUCGGACCAUCUGUUUAGGAAUUCAGCCCUCAAUUCGGCUUUCAUUAUUAAAAAAAAAACAAUAUUACCAUUUUCCAAGCAGCUGAGUGAUGACUGCAAAGAGCCAAUGACAAUACAGCACUGAGGGGAGUUGGAGGGUGGAGGGAUGAUAGUGUAACCCGCCACCCACGUUGCUGAAAAGAGCGCACGCUCAAAACUCAGGCAUUGAAUUAUAAAACCACACAGACCCCUGUAUUACUCGUGCUGUCCCAUUCACUUAGGGUGAUCUCAAACAGGCUUUUUCAUCCGCAAGUCUUUCCAUGGUUAUUGCAACACUACAAGUCUCCCGGAGGCAACCGUACUCCGGCACGCACCCACUAUGUGAGACGUAACACGCUGUUUCCGAGAGCUUAGCCCGGUGAUUGAAGCGGCCACCUGCCCGGUUAUAGAAGAAAGUGCUACAGGUCUUAAGCAUUUCCUGUAAGUCCUGAAAAUAAGUCCUGUUGUGACACUAAAGCAUCUAUGGAUGUUUAACCGUAGAAUGCUUGACCCAAAAACUUACAUGAAUGCAUAAAGAGGGUCUAAAUGACUUAUUGGAUUCAAUGGUUUUAUUCAAACUAAAAUUUGUUGUAAUAUUUAUUUUUUAUUUAAAAAUGAAUUUUCAUUAUGCACAAAUGUUCAGUUGUUCAUGUACAAUACACAAUAAUAAAACAAUUGUGUAUAUGUGCAAAAUCCUCACCAAUAUAUUAUUUAUUACUCAUUAUUUUUUUAUUGGGAAACAAAAUUAGAGUACAACCUACAAUCUCCUAAAUUUCGAGGUCACUGUUUAGUUGAAUUUGAAAUGAUCCUAACAGGAGUAAGAGCGCAGGUUUUUAAGCAUAUUUCUUGAGUUAAAUAUAUUCUGAAGCACAUUAUAAAAAACUUAAAUGAGAAAUUUGAAAAAGAACUCUAAUCAAAAUUAGAGAACACUUUCAGAGUUAUUGGUGUUAAUCUGGUACCUGGUGCUAAUUUCCUUAAUUAUCUGACAAACCCUAUUUAACCGGUAGCCUAACUUUCCAGUUUUCACUGACUUUGCAAGAUAAUGAGCCAUUCUAAAGUGACUGAAACCCUCUGACACCAGGUUGUCCAGAUGAAGGCCAAUAGCAGUCAUAGCAAGAGAAGUUGGUCAUUCCAAAUCUGUGAUUUCUAGAAUAUUGCAUCUUCACAAUGUCACUAACACAUUCAAGUCUCCCAAAAAGGCUGGCUGUCCAUGAAAGACAAAUGCAUGUGAGGAUAAGAUAAUGCGGAGAAUCUCAAUGGGCAGUUGGUUCAACGCUGCAGCUGGAAUUGCUUGCCAGUUCAGCUCUGAACAGGGUAAGUAUCUGUCUCGCAAAACAGUGCCUCGACACUCUGCAGUGUCUAAACCUCUCAUCAGCAGAGAGAAUCAAAAGGCUGG